CUUCUGGUGAGAGAAAGCUGAGCAGAAUGGAUCUAAUCUGAUUCCUCCACCCAGAAGCCCUUAAAAUGCAGCUUUGUUUUAAGCCUUCUUGAAGAUUUGGGCUAGAUCUAGAAAAGAACCUCACCACGGAGGAUGUGCAAAGUACAACACGUGACCCCGGAGACGGAAGCUCUUCUCUACCUCCGUAAAGAUGAUCUCUGAUGAACAGACAUGAUCAUGCCUGGAGAACAGGGAUGGACAGUCCCGCUUCUGAAAGACCCUGUCUGGCUGAUGAUUCAUGGUGCGCCGGGCAGACCCCAGGCCAAGAGACCCCACCCACAGUACCUGAGUGCUCAGCUGGGAACCAGACCAGACCUCAAAACAGGUUCCCAAGGUUACCACCCAACCCUGCCAACUUUCGCACCCCGCAAGGAGCAAGACCCCGCCCGCUCACCACCUGCCUGUGCAGCCAACGGGCCUCGCUGAGCUGCCCUGGGCCGCUCCCUCCAUUCACACAGUUGGCCCUCCCUCUCCCUGCCUCCCUUCGCCUACCCCACGAACUACUUCAUCCCUCUGGGCCGGCACUGUAGAAGCCCCAUUGUUCACAUCGACCUCCCAAUUAUCUCCUCUUUCCCUCUCCCUCUGCUCCUGCCCAGACCAGCCCCCCAGCAUUGACCUGGAUGCCUGCCACAGCCUCCUCCCUGGUCUCCGGCCUCCCACCUCUGCUCCUCGGUCUCCUCUACCCAGCCAGUAACUGCAGAGAGCACUAAAGCACAGUCCUGGCAUCUCACCCCCUUAACCCUGGCCACGGCUUCCCAGUGCCUCCAAGAUAAAGCACCAACACCUGAGGACAGCAGGUUGUUUUGAGAGUCCCCUCCAUUGAAACACGCACAUCUAAUUUGUCCUUCAGUUCGCUGGACUCCACGCUGAACGUGCCAUGCUCCAUUGCCCCGUGAGUAACUCCAUGCUCUUGCCGGUUUCACACGGCCUCUCAGAGCUGGAGCCUUUGUUCAGGAGCCCUGGGCAGCUUUCAGGAAGCUCUUGGGCUCAUCAGCUUCCUCUGGCUGAAGCCGCCCCAGUGGAAUCAUGGGGAUUUCUUACUUUGAAGGUGGGGCCACCCGCAGACUGUAACCGGCUGGUUCAAGAUCAAGGACUUCCCCAGGCCACCUGCCUCAGAGGCAAGAAAGGCUCAGCUGAGUCCCAGACACUCCUCGCUGUGGCCCCUCCUUCCUCCCUGCUGGGCAGGCCCCCCUCAAUUCUGUUUGCCAGCAGGGCCUAGUAACACUGAAAGACGAAAAGGGAAAUAAAAUAAACACAAUUAAUAGGCUAAAGGUUACUGAAUAAAGUGGCAGCAGUAAAUAAAUUGACUACUGUGCAAAUACAAAGACAUGAAGACAUGAAACCCCUGCUCUAAAUGACCACUCACCAAGAGCAAGGCCUGGGCUGGAGGCAGGGAGCACCUCCCUAAGGAGCACUCCCUCUUUCCCGGAGUGAGUCCUCCUUCUAGAUGGAAUUCAGUCCGGGUUCCUCUUGAGCCACAGUCCCUGUUGGGGCCUAUCUCAGUGGACUCAAGAUCCUGAACUUCUUCCAGAUUGCUGACUACACAUUUGAGUCACCCAGAGAUUAAAAGAAAAAACAAAUAAUUUCCCAGUGAUCAGGAGUAAAUCAGCUGGGGCAGGGUUGGUGCUAUGAAUGACCACACUGAUUUGUACACUUCACUGAUUUGUAGUGUUUGCUAUUUCCGUCGUGUAAAUACUGCCAACAUGGACAAUCUUCAGUUGCUAAUGGUUUACUAACUGGCUUGUAAAUGAAUUCAUUCAGUAUUCAAGAAAAUGGCACUACAUUUAGA
rnacentral:lncRNA from 1 species